rnacentral:rRNA from 1 species
UACAGAGGGCUCAAGCGUUGUUCGGAUUCAUUGGGCGUAAAGGGUGCGUAGGCGGCGGAGCAAGUCAGGUGUGAAAUCCCGGAGCUCAACUCCGGAACUGCAUUUGAUACUGCUUCGCUAGAGUACUGGAGAGGAGACUGGAAUUUACGGUGUAGCAGUGAAAUGCGUAGAUAUCGUAAGGAAGACCAGUGGCGAAGGCGAGUCUCUGGACAGUUACUGACGCUGAGGCACGAAGGCCAGGGGAGCAAACGGG